rnacentral:sRNA from 1 species
AAGGGACCUAGCGUAGUUCGGAAUUACUGGGCUUAAAGAGUUCGUAGGUGGUUGAAAAAGUUGGUGGUGAAAUCCCAGAGCUUAACUCUGGAACUGCCAUCAAAACUUUUCAGCUAGAGUAUGAUAGAGGAAAGCAGAAUUUCUAGUGUAGAGGUGAAAUUCGUAGAUAUUAGAAAGAAUACCAAUUGCGAAGGCAGCUUUCUGGAUCAUUACUGACACUGAGGAACGAAAGCAUGGGUAGCGAAGAGGAUUAGAUACCCUCGUAGUCCAUGCCGUAAACGAUGUGUGUUAGACGUUGGAAAUUUAUUUUCAGUGUCGCAGGGAAACCGAUAAACACACCGCCCGGGGAGUACGACCGCAAGGUUAAAACUCAAAUGAAUUGACGGGGACCCGCACAAGUAGUGGAGCAUGUGGUUUAAUUCGAAGAUACGCGCAGAACCUUACCAACACUUGACAUGUUCGUCGCGACUCUAAGAGAUUAGAGUUUUCGGUUCGGCCGGACGAAACACAGGUGCUGCAUGGCUGUCGUCAGCUCGUGUCGUGAGAUGUUGGGUUAAGUCCCGCAACGAGCGCAACCCUCACUUUUAGUUGCCAUCAUUAAGUUGGGCACUCUAGAAGAACUGCCAGUGAUAAGCUGGAGGAAGGUGGGGAUGACGUCAAGUCCUCAUGGCCCUUACGUGUUGGGCUACACACGUGCUACAAUGGCAUCUACAACAGGAAGCAAAACGGCAACGUUAAGCAAAUCCCGAAAAGAUGCCUCAGUUCGGAUUGCACUCUGCAACUCGAGUGCAUGAAGCUGGAAUUACUAGUAAUCGUGGAUCAGCGUGCCACGGUGAAUGCGUUCCCGGGUCUUGUACGCACCGCCCGUCACACCAUGGGAGUUGGUUCUACCUUAAGGCAAGGUUUUAAACCCUUGACCACGGUAUAGUCAGCGACUGGGGUGAAGUCGUAACAAGGUAGCCGUAGGGGAACCUGCGGCUGGAUUACCUCCUUUCUAAGGAUGAGUGAAAGUAAAAUUUCACUCUAAAUAAUAUACAUCGGUAAUGUUGACCGUCCUCAUUUCUCUUCUUAAAGUAAUGUUUCCUUCUUGUAGGGCCGGUAGCUCAGUUGGUUAGAGCACACCCUUGAUAAGGGUGGGGUCGAAAGUUCGAGUCUUUCUCGGCCCACCAAAAACCUAAAUGGGGGAUUAGCUCAUCUGGGAGAGCGCCUGAUUUGCAUUCAGGAGGUAGCAGGUUCGAUCCCUGUAUCCUCCACCAGGAAACAUUUAGUUAUUAAAACUGUAAAUAAAAAUAAUUUAUAUCAAUAUCUAUAUCCGAACAUUAAAAGUUAUUAUUUAAUGUUCAAAAUAAAAAUUUGAUCACAACAUAGAUAAAUUUUCUUUUUAAAAGAAUUUUUUUCUGUGCAUAAAUCAAGCGUUUAAGGGCGUGUAGUGGAUGCCUUGGCACUGAAAGCCGAUGAAGGACGUGAUAUACUGCGAUAAGUUUCGGGGAGCUGUAUGUAAGCUUUGAUCCGAAAAUUU